AUGGCCAGCCCCUCUCUUGGGCCUCAGUUUCCUGAUCUGUCUGGACUAGGUGACUUGUCUGUGUGGGCAGUGGAUGGAACCCUUUCUCUUGGCCUCAUGGCACUCACUUCUGGCCCAAGAGGACUGAGAGGCCUUGCCCUCCCUACUCUCCAUGACCCUCAACACACAGGCCUUGAAGAGGGAGUGAGUCCUGCUCCAAACCUGGCAGAACGCCCUCCCUUUCCUGGCCUGCAAGGGCAGCCCUGCCACUGCCCGUUUCCUUUCCACAGGCUGGGCCACCACCAAGCCAGAACUCCUAGCCCCAGUGGAGAGAGGAGACCAGCAGGCAACUGCAGCCUGCCCAGUGUGGAGAGGGGCCAGACCCUGGGCACUGCUUUUCCAGAUUUCUCCAGGAGAGAACUUUGUUUAGCCCCAGGACUGGGCCUCACUCCUAGAAGCUGCUUCUAAAGCCUUUGCUGAAAACCUGCAGGCCCCA
rnacentral:lncRNA from 1 species